rnacentral:rRNA from 1 species
UACGGGGGGAGCAAGCGUUGUUCGGAUUUACUGGGCGUAAAGGGCGCGUAGGCGGUCGUGACAAGUCACUUGUGAAAUCUCCGGCUUAACUCGGAACGGUCGAAGUGAUACUGUCGGACUAGAGUACAGAAGGGGCAACUAGAAUUCCGUGUGUAGCGGUGAAAUGCGUAGAUAUACGGAGGAAUACCUGAGGCGAAGGCGGGUGCUGGGCCAAGCACUGACGCUGAGGCGCGAAAGCCAGGGGAGC